GUCUCUUCGGGGAUGAUUAACCGGCGCACGGGUGAGUAACACGUGAGUGACCUGCCUUUUAGACUGGAACAACUUACCGAAAGGUGAGCUAAUGCCGGAUGAGUUAUAUAAGUGCAUGUUUAUAUAGGAAAAGUUGGGGAGACCUGACGCUGAAAGAUGGACUCGCGUCCCAUUAGCUAGUUGGUAGGGUAAUGGCCUACCGAGGCGACGAUGGGUAGCCGGCCUGAGAGGGUGGCCGGCCACACUGGGACUGAGACACGGCCCAGACUCCUACGGGAGGCAGCAGUGGGGAAUUUUGCGCAAUGCUCGUAAGAGUGACGCAGCGACGCCGCGUGAAUGACGAAGGCCUUCGGGUCGUAAAGUUCUUUCGACAGGGAAGAAAAUGCCUAUAAGUAACUGUGUAUGUAUUGACGGUACCUGUAUAAGCAGCCCCGGCUAACUCCGUGCCAGCAGCCGCGGUAAUACGGAGGGGGCGAGCGUUGUUCGGAGUGACUGGGCGUAAAGAGCACGUAGGCGGUGUUGUAAGUCAUUAGUCAAAGACUAGAGCUCAACUUUAGUAAGGCUAGUGAUACUAUAAUACUAGAGUAUCAGAGAGGAUUGCAG
rnacentral:rRNA from 1 species